AUCACUUCCUGGCCUUUUGGCUAAGAGUCUGAGUUUUAUCAGUUUAAUAUCUAAAACGUCCUCUUUCCAAGGACAAUGUGGUAAGUGGAUUUUGGGAGCAGGGAGAUGGACUGGCAACUUGCUGCAUCCACUCCACAUCAUACUGGUAUUACAGUGCCUCCCAGGAAUGGGGUGCCUCUU
rnacentral:snRNA from 2 species